rnacentral:rRNA from 1 species
AUGCACGCUAGCGAUCGGCUUCACCCAUGCAAGUCGAGGGGCAGCACAAGGUAGCUUGCUAUCUGGGUGGCGACCGGCGCACGGGUGCGUAACGCGUAUGCAACUUGCCCUAUACAGGAGGAUAACCCGUCGAAAGACGGACUAAUACUGCGUAUGCUCACAACUUGGCAUCAAGUGGUGAGGAAAGAAAUUCGGUAUAGGAUAGGCAUGCGUCCCAUUAGCUUGUUGGUGAGGUAACGGCUCACCAAGGCAACGAUGGGUAGGGGAACUGAGAGGUUUAUCCCCCACACUGGUACUGAGACACGGACCAGACUCCUACGGGAGGCAGCAGUGAGGAAUAGUGGUCAAUGGGCGCGAGCCUGAACCAGCCAAGUCGCGUGAAGGAUGACUGUCUUAUGGAUUGUAAACUUCUUUUAUACGGGAAUAACAAGAGUCACGGGUGACUCCCUGCAUGUACCGUAUGAAUAAGCAUCGGCCAACUCCGUG